rnacentral:rRNA from 1 species
AUUGAACGCUGGCGGCAGGCCUAACACAUGCAAGUCGAACGAGUGGCGGACGGGUGAGUAAUGUCUGGGAAACUGCCUGAUGGAGGGGGAUAACUACUGGAAACGGUAGCUAAUACCGCAUACCAUCGGAUGAGCCCAUAUGGGAUUAGCUAGUAGGUGGGGUAACGGCUUACCUAGGCGACGAUCCCUAGCUGGUCUGAGAGGAUGAACAGCCACACUGGGACUGAGACACGGCCCAGACUCCUCCGGGAGGCAGCAGUGGGGAAUAUUGCACAAUGGGCUCAACCCUGAUGCAGCCAUGCCGCGUGUAUGAAGAAGGCCUUCGGGUUGUAAAGUACUUUCAGCGGUGAGGCGUUACCCACAGAAGAAGCACCGGCUAACUCCGUGCCAGCAGCCGCGGUAAUAC